GGAAGCGCUCGGGGGCUGGUGCCUCCCGCGGUCUUCAAAACCGUUGUCCCGGGCCGGCACGGUUCGGGGGGUGGGUUCGAUUCCCAUGCGUUUCCGCCA
rnacentral:tRNA from 1 species